CAGUAGCCGCGGAAUACAGAGGGUGCGAGCGUUAAUCGGAUUUACUGGGCGUAAAGCGUGCGUAGGCGGCUUUUUAAGUCGGAUGUGAAAUCCCUGAGCUUAACUUAGGAAUUGCAUUCGAUACUGGGAAGCUAGAGUAUGGGAGAGGAUGGUAGAAUUCCAGGUGUAGCGGUGAAAUGCGUAGAGAUCUGGAGGAAUACCGAUGGCGAAGGCAGCCAUCUGGCCUAAUACUGACGCUGAGGCACGAAAGCGAGGGGAGCAAACAGGAUUAGAUACCCCUGUAGUCCCUGUCUCUUAUACA
rnacentral:rRNA from 1 species